rnacentral:lncRNA from 1 species
AGAAAGUUGCACCACAUAGAAUAAAACUGGUUAAAUAGUAGUUUAAUUGGAAGAAUUAAAGAACUUAGAGAAAUAAAGAAUUGCACUACUAAACAAAUAUGAUGACUAGAAUAAAUAAUAACAAAAUAUGCACCAGAAAUCAAAUAGGAUGAAUGGAAUAAUAAUAAAAAAAAUUGCACUGCAAAUCCAAAGCAUUGAAGGGAGAACAAACUAAAAUGCAUGGCAUAAUACUCGAAAGUAAAACCACAAUUCUACAUUGCAUAACCUAAUCAUUGGAAGGCCUUAUAAUUAGAAGGGAGAAAAAGGCAAUAAAGUGUAAGAUCCAGGAAAAAUGAAUAUGUAGAAAGGUGGUGGGUGUAGGCAUCAUUAAUUAAAUUAAGAAAAAGAUAUGUUAUACAAAAGUGGAGUGUAGCUUAGUGAUGGGUGUCGCCGCCCAAUCAAAUUUGAUUGCAUAUUAGAAAUGCAGUAUAGCUAGGGAAUGACCCCUAGGUCGUCUCCCAAAGACCAAACCAUGGUUCAGGAAUUAGGUCUAACACAAAAGGGGGGGUUUGAAUGUGUUCUUGCAAGGAAAAUUAAAUUAAAUUAAAANUGGAAAUUAAAUACAACCGAACAUAAUUAAAAACAUUGAAAUAACUGAAAAGAAAAAAAAAAUGAAGACCGAACGGUCCUACAGAUGAUCAAACGGUUCUACAUUGAAUCUAAACGGUCUCCAAAGAAAAUGAGGAAAUUGGAAAUGCUGGAAAAUAAAGAUGCCGAACAGAAAAGACAACAACCUAGUAAAUGGAACCAACAAACCAAACAGUCUUAAGGCAAGAUGUACGAACAUAAUUGAAAGCAUUAAAGUGCAUGAAAACAUUAAACCGAACAAUGCAAUAGCUAAAUAUUUAUACGCAAUUAAAGCUAAGUGGAAGCACAAUGCAGCGAAGAAAUCAAUUGCAAAUAAUUCUAUUAAAAUACUAUUAAGCUAAAAAGUGAAUGUUGACUUUAGUAACUAGCAAUGCCAUUCAUCGUUGAGAAACAAUAUAAGGAAAAAGAAAAUAAAAUAUGCAUAGAAAAGAUGCAAAUGAUGGUGGACGCCAUGCACAAGCCAAAAUCAAAUCCGCAAUUCUCUAAANAAAAUAACUCUGUUCCUAAACCCGUGGCANNUGUAUGCUUCAAUCNAAAAUUAAAUGUACCGAAUGAAACUUUAAUAAAAAUAUCUGCAUGAAACCAAAUAAAAAGAUAAAAAAAAAUAUAAAUUCAGCAAAGAAAUUUGAAAUGAACGUGGAGCCCUCCUNGACGUGGCAGCCAAGCUUUCUCCAAUAGAACCGUGCAACAUCACAAAAAUGAAAGGCACCGUUUGAAUUCAGCUAUGAGCUUUCCUAUUUAAUUCCUCNAAAAACGUUCAAAACUAAAGCUUGAAUAAUCAGUUGNAGCUAUUCAAUGAAAACAUAAAAGCUUCUAUUCUAACAGUAGCAAAAUCAAAUNCCUUCCUUCNGCCGUAACCUUCCAUGCUUGAAAAUCCAGAAAACGAAAAUGAGUGUGUGGCGGCUUGUACCAGGUAGCAAUCCCNAGACCUCCCUUUUUUUUUAUGCUAACGUGCANCUAUUGUCCUCUGNAAGCCCUAGACGUUGCUGCUGGACCGUCAUGGAUGAUGCCAUUCCCUAUUGCACNCCCAAAAUGAUCAUGCAGCACCUCUCCAGGAAGCAUGAAGCCUUCUUCUCUGGAUUUCCAUUUGCUCACGGGCCUUCCAGUAGUCACACGUCCUUGUGUUGAUGUCUUACUGGAUGUUUUCCACUCCUUNGUUGGCCCAACUGUUUCUCAUGAAGCCAUGAAUGGUGCUGCCUGGGUGAGUAUGAAGACUUUGUUGCCANCGUGGGGCUCCAAACUACUGUCAUCUGGGNCGUGGGUGCUGUGUGACACCUCUUCCAUGUGCACCUACAAGCUGUUUGGGCUUUGACCGUGAAGGCUGUGUUCGUGGAGCGUGGAGUGAAGCUGCUGGUGGUUGUUGCUUCAGGUUGGACUUCCACGC